AGCGAACGCUGGCGGCAGGCUUAACACAUGCAAGUCGAGCGGGCCCUUCGGGGUCAGCGGCAGACGGGUGAGUAACACGUGGGAACGUACCCUUCGGUUCGGAAUAACUCAGGGAAACUUGAGCUAAUACCGGAUACGCCCUUUUGGGGAAAGGUUUACUGCCGAAGGAUCGGCCCGCGUCUGAUUAGCUAGUUGGUGGGGUAAUGGCCCACCAAGGCGACGAUCAGUAGCUGGUCUGAGAGGAUGAUCAGCCACACUGGGACUGAGACACGGCCCAGACUCCUACGGGAGGCAGCAGUGGGGAAUAUUGGACAAUGGGCGCAAGCCUGAUCCAGCCAUGCCGCGUGUGUGAUGAAGGCCUUAGGGUUGUAAAGCACUUUCGACGGGACGAUAAU
rnacentral:rRNA from 1 species